UACGUAGGGUGCGAGCGUUGUCCGGAAUUACUGGGCGUAAAGGGCGCGUAGGCGGGGAGGUAAGUCGGGUGUGAAAUCCCUCGGCCCAACCGAGGAACUGCGCCCGAGACUGCUUCUCUUGAGUCCCGGAGAGGAAGAUGGAAUUCCCGGUGUAGCGGUGAAAUGUGUAGAGAUCGGGAGGAACACCGGUGGCGAAGGCGGUCUUCUGGACGGUGACUGACGCUGAGGCGCGAAAGCGUGGGGAGCAAACGGG
rnacentral:rRNA from 1 species